CGCAGCAACGCCGCGUGCGGGAUGAAGGCCUUCGGGUUGUAAACCGCUUUCAGCAGGGAUGAAAUUGACAGUACCUGCAGAAGAAGCCCCGGCUAACUACGUGCCAGCAGCCGCGGUAAUACGUAGGGGGCGAGCGUUAUCCGGAUUCAUUGGGCGUAAAGCGCGCGUAGGCGGCUUGUUAAGUCAGAUGUGAAAUCUGGGGGCUCAACCCGCAGCUUGCAUCUGAAACUGGCAGGCUUGAGUCUGGUAGAGGAGUGUGGAAUUCCCAGUGUAGCGGUGAAAUGCGCAGAUAUUGGGAGGAACACCAGUGGCGAAGGCGGCACUCUGGGCCACGACUGACGCUGAGGCGCGAAAGCUAGGGGAGCGAACAGGAUUAGAUACCCUGGUAGUCCUAGCCGUAAACGAUGGGCACUAGGUGUGGGGGGUAUGACUCCCUCCGUGCCGCAGCUAACGCAUUAAGUGCCCCGCCUGGGGAGUACGGCCGCAAGGCUA
rnacentral:rRNA from 1 species